rnacentral:rRNA from 1 species
AUGCCCUGGCAGUCAGAGGCGAUGAAGGACGUGCUAAUCUGCGAAAAGCGUCGGUAAGGUGAUAUGAACCGUUACAGCCGGCGAUGUCCGAAUGGGGAAACCCAGUGCAAUUCGUUGCACUAUCGUUAACUGAAUACAUAGGUUAACGAGGCGAACCGGGGGAACUGAAACAUCUAAGUACCCCGAGGAAAAGAAAUCAACCGAGAUUCCCCCAGUAGCGGCGAGCGAACGGGGAGCAGCCCGGAGUCUGAAUCAGCUUGUGUGUUAGUGG